GCAGCCGCGGUAAUUCCAGCUCCAAUAGCGUAUACUAAAGUUGUUGCGAUUAAAAAGCUCGUAGUUGGAUCUCAGGCAUGGGCGCACGGUCCGCCUCGCGGUGGUCACUGUGUGUUUUGUUACCCAUCCUACGCUUCCCGGUUGUUCAGCCCAUGGUGCUCUUCAUUGAGCGUUUUGGGUGGCCGGAACGUUUACUUUGAAGAAAUUAGAGUGUUCAAAGCAGGCACGUUGCCUGAAUAAUGGUGCAUGGAAUAAUGGAAUAGGACCUCGGUUCUAUUUUGCUGGUUUUCGGAACACGAGGUAAUGAUUAAGAGGGACAGACGGGGGCAUCCGUAUUGCGGUGUUAGUUUUUGAAGUUCUUGGAUCAUCGCAAGACGAACAACUGCGA
rnacentral:rRNA from 1 species